rnacentral:rRNA from 1 species
UUGACCUCAAAUCAGGUAGGACUACCCGCUGAACUUAAGCAUAUCAAUAAGCGGAGGAAAAGAAACUAACAAGGAUUCCCCUAGUAACUGCGAGUGAAGCGGGAAAAGCUCAAAUUUAAAAUCUGGCGGUCCUCGCGGCCGUCCGAGUUGUAAUCUGGAGAAGCGUUUUCCGCGUCGGACCGUGUACAAGUCUUCUGGAAUGGAGCGUCGUAGAGGGUGAGAAUCCCGUCUCUGACACGGACCGCCGAUGCUUUUGUGAUACGCUCUCGAAGAGUCGAGUUGUUUGGGAAUGCAGCUCAAAACGGGUGGUAAAUUCCAUCUAAAGCUAAAUAUUGGCGAGAGACCGAUAGCGAACAAGUACCGUGAGGGAAAGAUGAAAAGCACUUUGGAAAGAGAGUUAAACAGUACGUGAAAUUGUUGAAAGGGAAACGUUUGAAGUCAGUCGCGUCGGUCGAGACUCAACCUUGCUCUUUUGCUCGGCGCACUUCUCGGCCGACGGGUCAGCAUCAAUUUCGACCGUCGGAUAAAGGCCGAGGGAAUGUGGCAUCUUUCGGGAUGUGUUAUAGCCUUCGGUUCGCAUACGGCGAUCGGGAUUGAGGAACUCAGCGCGCCUUCAUCGGUCGGGGCUUCGGCUCACG